rnacentral:rRNA from 1 species
CCUACGGGAGACAGCAGUGAGGAAUAUUGGUCAAUGGACGAGAGUCUGAACCAGCCAAGUAGCGUGAAGGAUGACUGCCCUAUGGGUUGUAAACUUCUUUUAUAUGGGAAUAAAACGUUCCACGUGUGGGAUUUUGUAUGUACCAUAUGAAUAAGGAUCGGCUAACUCCGUGCCAGCAGCCGCGGUAAUACGGAGGAUCCGAGCGUUAUCCGGAUUUAUUGGGUUUAAAGGGAGCGUAGGUGGAUUGUUAAGUCAGUUGUGAAAGUUUGCGGCUCAACCGUAAAAUUGCAGUUGGAACUGGCAGUCUUGAGUACAGUAGAGGUGGGCGGAAUUCGUGGUGUAGCGGUGAAAUGCUUAGAUAUCACGAAGAACUCCGAUUGCGAAGGCAGUUCACUGGACUGCAACUGACACUGAGGCUCGAAAGUGUGGGUAUCAAACAGGAUUAGAUACCCCUGUAGUC